rnacentral:lncRNA from 1 species
CGUCCACCGGGGCUCCGCUCCCCUCAGAGACAGGGCUAGGAGGGUCCCCCGCGCUGGCCACUUUCGGGGUCUGCCGCCGCRCCCCCGCCGCAGGGCCGCCGAGAGGCCCCGGGGCUCUGCAGGCCCCCGCGCCCCGUCCGGGGGGUCCCCACUGUGAUGGCGGCCGCUGCGCGGUCCCCGUGGUGAGGGAGCUCCACCCCCCUUGUGAUGGCGCCCGUUGCCGCGGUGCCGCCAUUAGGCCUCCCCCGGCAGCGGCGGCAGCGAAGGACGAGGCAGGGCGGCGACCGGGGUGGCCGCGGAGGGGACGAGGCGCAGGCUGCCAGGCCCCGACGACGCGCCGGCCGGCGGCCAUGGCAGAGGAAUCGGAAGCGCAGCUCUGGAUUGGAAACUCAGCCGGUGCCAUUCCUGUUUCAUGCUAUUGGAAGGAGGCAGCGUUGCUAUCUCUCUGGCAGGUGUCAAGGGCUUUCUGUGAGGAAGACCUGCAAAACCAAGGCUCUGACCACAGCUCCUUGGUGGCUCUGCCCUGACUCUGACGGGGCAAAGCAGCCUCUCAGGAGGUCGCAGUGCA